rnacentral:rRNA from 1 species
CUUUUGUCCUUCAACUGCUUUGCGUUAAAUCUCCUUUGGCAUGAGAAAAGGAUAAAGGGUUGGGACAAUGGAAUACAUAAAUGGACAGAGUUUCUUCGCUAUAUUUUUUCCUCCUCCAAAUGGUACCCCUACCCCUUCUUUUAUAGGCUAGAAGGAGCUAGGGUUUUGGAUGAACCCUCAACCAUGCAUGGCUAGGAGUUUCAGUUAACUCACCCAUAGCUUUUUGUUCCAUCAACAACUUUCCUUUUUUCGUGCUUUUGUAGGUACACGCGGGCUGCUGUGAGUCAUCUAGCGUGUACAUGCGUGUAGUAAUGGGUUAGGGCAUGUGGGCCUUUACACAAGAGGAUUUUCAAAGAGUUGUUCAGUAGAGUUUUGGAAAAGAAGGGAUAUGAGUUGGCCUGAUGCCAGGUAAGCAUGUGUGGUGCAAUUUAGGGUUAUAAAAAUGGGGUGCAUUUUCAAGCAACCUUGAGCUUGUGUGAAGGGUUCAAGUGAAAGCACACCUAUUGGGACCUGAAAGAUGGUGAACUAUGCCUGAGUAGCGCGAAGUGAGAGGAAACUUUGGUGGAGGCUCGCAGCGAUACUGACAUUCAAAUCAUUCAUCUGACUUGGGUAUAGGGGCGAAAGACUAAUUGAACCAUCUAGUAGCUGGUUUCCUUUGAAGUUUCCCUCAGGAUAGUUGGAGAUCACGUGCGAGUUUUAUCGGGUAAAGAAAAUGAUUAGAGUCAUCGGGGGUGUAACGCCCUUGAUCUAUUCUCAAACUUUAAAUAGUUAAGAUGGCGCGACUACUCCACUAAGCUGUGCCAUGGAAUAGAUAUCUCCAAGUGGUCCAUUUUUGGUAAACAGAACUGGCGAUGUGGGAUGAACCGAAAGUCGAGUUACGGUGCCAAACAACACACUAACCCAGAUCCCACCAAGGGUGUUGGUUGAUUAAGACAAUAGGACGGUGGUCAUGGAAGUCGAAAUCUACUAAGGAGUGUGUAACAACUCACCUACCAAAUCAACUAGCCCCGAAAAUGGAUGGCGCUGAAGCGCGCGACCUAUACUUGACCAUCGGAGCAAUUUCCAGGCUUCGAUGAGUAGGAGGAUGCAUGGGUCAUUGAGAAACCUUGGGCAUGAGCCUGGGUGGACCAGUCCCUAGUGCAUAUCUUAGUGGUAGUAGAAAAUAUUCAAAUGAGAACUUUGAAGACUGAAGUGGGGAAAAGUUCCAUGUGAACAACACUUGGACAUGGGUUAGUCAAUCCUAAUAGAUGGGGAAGCCCUAUAUCAAGGGUGCACUCUUCACGAACAUAAAAAAGGAAUCGGGUUAAUAUUCUUGAAUCGAGACAUGGUGACAGAUGACAACGUUAGGUAAUCCGGAGACGUCGUCGGGGGCCCUAGGAAGAGUUGUAUUUUAUUUUUAACAGCUUGCCCACCCUGAAAUCGUCUCAACCAGAGAUAGGGUCCAACAGCUGGAAGAGCAUCACACGUCUUUUAGUGUUCAGUGUGCCCUCAAUGACCAUUGAAAAUCUGGAGGACCGAGUACUGUCCAUGCCCGGUUGUACUCAUAACCUCAUUAGGUCUCCAAGGUGAACAACCUCUGGUCAAUAUAACAAUGUAGGUAAGGGAAGUUGGAAAAACGGAUCUGCAACUUCAGGAAAAGGAUUGGCUCUAAGGGCUGGGCCUAGGGGUCUGCAUCCUCAACCUGUGGGAUGUUGGCAGUCUACCCGAGAUGAUAUUGUGACGAGGGCAGGCAGUCAUGUGUCGAUUGGGCUCGGGCGUAGAAUGUCCCCUCACGGGGGAUUUUCCCUAGGCGGUGAACAGUUGACUCAGAAAUGGUAUGGACAAGGGGAAUCCGACUGUUUAAUUAAAACAAAUCAUUGUGAUGGUCCCUGCGGAUGAUGACACAAUGUGAUAUCUUCCCAGUUCUCUGAAUGUCAAAGUGAAGAAAUUCAACCAAGCGUGGGUAAACAAUGGGAGUAACUUUGACUCUCUUAAGGUAUCCAAAUGCCUUGUCAUCUAAUUAGUGAUGUGCAUGAAUGGAUUAACGAGAUUCCCACUGUCCCUAUCUACUAUCUAGAGAAACCACAACCAAGGGAAUGGGCUUGGUACAAUCAGCAAGGAAAGAAGACCCUGUUGAGCUUGACUCUAGUACGACUUUGUGAAAUGACUUGAGAGGUGUAGAAUAAGUGGGAGCCAUUUUUGGAGCAAGUGAAAUACCACUACUUUUAACGUUAUUUUACUUAUUUUGUGGGGUGGAGAUGGGGCAUCAUCCCUGUUUUUGGCCUUAAGACACAUUUCGAUGGGUUGAUUUGGGCAAAAUACAUUGUCAGGUGGGGAGUUUGGCUGGGGUGACACAUCUGUUAAAAGAUAACAAAUGUGUCCUAAGAUGAGCUCAAUGAGAAAAAUAAUUUCACGUGGAACAAAAGGGUAAAAGCUCAUUUGAUUUUGAUUUUCAGUAUGAAUACAAACUGUGAAAGUUUGACCUAUUUAUCCUUUAGACUUUCAGAAUUUGAAGCUAGAGGUGUCAAAAAAGUUACCAUAGGGAUAACUGGCUUGUGGUAGCCAAGCAUUCAUAGUGACACUUUUUUAUCCUUCGAUGUUGGCUCUUCCUAUCAUUGUGAAGUAGAAUUCACCAAGUGUUGGAGUGUUCACCCACCAAUAGGGAAUGUGAGUUGGGUUUAGAUAAUCAUGAGACAGGUUAGUUUUACCCUACUGAUGAAUUGCAUCCGAAUAUAAAUUCAACUUAGUAUGAGAGGAACCGUUGAUUCACACAAUUGGUCAUCGCGCUUGGUUGAAAAGCCAGUGGCGCAAAGCUACUAUGUGUCAGAUUAUGAUUGAACGCCUCUAAGUUAGAAUCCACGCUAGAAGCAACACUUUUCACUCCUCGACUGUAUCUUGACCCAUAGUAGGGGUGUCUCUUCUACACCCCCAGGGGCCCAUGUCACUUGCGAACCUUGGCCAUGAAGCAUCUCGGCCGGGGUAGCUUUGAAGUUCAAUUUCAAACAGUCAUUGAAAAUAAUCCUUUGUAAAUGAC